AUGGGACGGCCCGCUGGGCUGUUCCCGCCCCUAUGCCCUUUUUUGGGUUUCCGGCCAGAGGCAUGCUGGGAGCGUCACAUGCAAAUUGAGCGUGCACCCAGCGUUCCGCCCUUUCUACGCUGGGCCGGUUAUCGACCCGGCCCAGUGCGCAGGCGCGGGAAAGUUGAACUAAUAAAGUUUGUACGAGUUCAGUGGAGGAGACCGCAAGUUGAGUGGAGGAGGCGGCGGUGGGGCCCCGGACCAGGUCAGCGGGGUGUUGACGAGGGGUGGGGUGAGGAGGGAAGAGGAGGGGGCCGGGAUCCAGUGGUGGGCACCCCAGUCCCGCUUCUCUGAUAUCCAAGGGUCCAGGGUCCUCUAGAUUCCAGCAGGGGUCGGAGAUUUGGAACUACACCUCACAGCAGGCUGCGCGGCGAAGAAGCGCGGACCUAGGGGAAGAUUUGCCCUGAAACCUCUUGGGAUUGGUAGUUCCCGAUGCUUUAAGGGUUUCAGGAGUUUGGCAUAUGCCUCUUAUAGAAUCCAGGAGUUGGGGCGCUAAGCCUCUUCUUCCUGGGAGACCUAAGGGUCUGGGGCUCCAGUUCCUUUUUCUCUAAGACUCAGAAGUCCAGGACCCCAGCUCCCUCCUCCUUUAGACCCACGAAUCUGGGCACCCAGCCCCACCACCUUUCCUUGGAUCGAAGAGUCUUUUUCCUGAUCGCUUUUUCGUCUGAGGACUCAAGAGUCUAGGCCCCCAGACCCACACUCUCCAAAGGACCCAGGAGUCCAGGCCCUCAGCACCUUCCUUGGGACUCACAAGUCCUGGUCCCCAAGCCUCCACUUCUUGCUAAACCCUUGGAGUCCAGUCCCUAACCCUCUCUCUCACAGGUGCCUCCAUGGCAGGCUCUGAAGAGCUGGGGCUCCGGGAAGACACGCUGAGGGUCCUAGCUGCCUUCCUUAGGCGUGGUGAGGCUGCCGGGUCUCCUGUUCCAACUCCACCUAGGUAAGAGGAGUGGCCCUUCUCCCCCAGGGGCCAGCAUUUGAGGCUCCCUCCUAACUCUUGCUCCUGGUCUCAGUCUGUCUCCUCUCUUUAUAUCUGGCUCUAUUCUCUGUCUUUGGGGUUUUGGAGAGAGGUCCUCAGCGGGGGAGGGAGGGAGUUGGGGAAAGAGACUGCUUGCAGGGGAUCUCUGGUGGGGUCAGUCUCUGAAGUCCUCCUCUCCAGAAGCCCUGCCCAAGAAGAGCCAACAGACUUCCUGAGCCGCCUUCGAAGAUGUCUUCCCUGCUCCCUGGGGCGAGGAGCAGCCCCCUCUGAGUCCCCUCGGCCUUGCUCUCUGCCCAUCCGCCCCUGCUAUGGUUUAGAGCCUGGUAAGAGAUUUCCAUGAUCAUCUAUGAAGCCGGCAGAACACGGGAUAAGGCCCAGCUACUCCAGACUUCUAUGCUUUGGUGGCCCAGCGGCUGGAACAGCUGGUCCAAGAGCAGCUGAAAUCUCCGCCCAGCCCAGAAUUACAGGGUCCCCCAUCGACAGAGAAGGAAGCCAUACUGCGGAGGCUGGUGGCCCUGCUGGAGGAGGAGGCAGAAGUCAUUAACCAGAAGCUGGCCUCGGACCCCGCCCUGCGCAGCAAGCUGGUCCGCCUGUCCUCCGACUCUUUCGCCCGCCUGGUGGAGCUGUUCUGUAGCCGGGAUGACAGCUCUCGCCCAAGCCGAGCAUGCCCCGGGCCCCCGCCUCCUUCCCCGGAGCCCCUGGCCCGCCUGGCCCUAGCCAUGGAGCUGAGCCGGCGCGUGGCCGGGCUGGGGGGCACCCUGGCCGGACUCAGCGUGGAGCACGUGCACAGCUUCACGCCCUGGAUCCAGGCCCACGGGGGCUGGGAGGGCAUCCUGGCUGUUUCACCCGUGGACUUGAACUUGCCAUUGGACUGAGCUCUUUCUCAGAAGCUGCUACAAGAUGACACCUCAUGUCCCUGCCCUCUUCGUGUGCUUUUCCAAGUCUUCCUAUUCCACUCAGGGCUGUGGGGUGGUGGUUGCCCUACCUGUUUUUGCCAAAAAUAAAUUGUUUAAAACUUUUCUUAUUAAAAACGUUACAAAGUA
rnacentral:misc_RNA from 1 species